rnacentral:misc_RNA from 1 species
GAUGAAGAACGUAGCGAAAUGCGAUACUUGGUGUGAAUUGCAGAAUCCCGUGAACCAUCGAGUCUUUGAACGCAAGUUGCGCCUCAAGCCAUUAGGUUGAGGGCACGUCUGCCUGGGCGUCACAUAUCGUUGCCUGAUGCCAGUUUCCUCGUGAUGGGUGACUGUGCAGGGCGAAUGAUGGCUUCCCGUGAGCAUUGUUGCCUCAUGGUUGGUUGAAAAUUGAGUCCUUGGUAGGGAGCGCCGUGAUAGAUGGUGGUUGAGUGACGAACGAGACCCAAUCAUGUGAGACCCCUACCGAAUUUGGCCUUCAUGACCCACAUGCGUCUUUGGAACGCUCAUGACGAGACUUCAGGUCAGGCGGGGCUACCCGCUGAGUUUAAGCAUAUCAAUAAGCGGAGGA